UGCCCGCACCGCAGCUCGCACUGGUCUCAGUACUCGCUACGCCAAGAAGCUGCUCGCAUACAUACGCGCCGCACGGAUCUCUCUCGCGCGAACUCUCUCGCUUAUUUAACUCAACUGUCGUUCGAGUGCAUUUUCGGCUUGCUUCAACUUUGUCAAAGACUACAUCGAUUGCACACCACCAUGAAAUUGGCUGUGGCUACUAUUCUCGGUGCAGGAGUCAUUGUUGCUACCCUGCUUAACGGGGCCUCCGGUAUUUUGGGCCACGACACGAGUUUCAAAAAUUUUAUGACCAAAAGCCGAGAUCAGACGUCGACAAAACCAUCCAACUGAGCUCUGAGCGGACCGCCCCGAAGCGCCCAGAACGUUCCAUCGAUCAGUGUUCGAUUCACUCAGUAUUCGCAUAAUUCAUCGUCUCAUCGACUCUCGUCUUCGUAGUUUAAGUAGUCAAGUGUUAUGUGUAAGCAGUGUCAUGAAUGUUUAGUUAAAUAAAUGAAUUAAUUUUCAACGAA